GGGGCUUCCCUGGGGGAAGGUAACCUUAGGAUGGGCAUACUGGCAGUGCGAUGUCCCAUCCAUAUGUAUGUAGGGCAUUCCAGGAUCCAAGGGUUCCAGCUGAGGCGAAAGCUGGCGGCUUGGCCUGAUGUAGCCCAAAGCAAUCCCCUGGUCCAUAGGAGGACAUGGGGGACGUGCCUGGAGGUGGCACUGAUGGGACACUGGCAAAUCUAAUAUAUAUGGACUGUCUUCAUCCUGAGGU